AGAAAAUUCCCAGUUAAAUUGGAGGGGUCACAAUGGUCCCGCUUAAAACCCAACAACUAGACAGAACUCACUUAGAUAUUUAUAGCAAUAAUAACUAAAUAAAUAUAACCAACAUAAAGCUAUUAAAUAUAAGCAAACAAAUAAGAAAUAAAAUACCAGAGAUUUAACGAGGUUCGGCCAAUUUAGCUUACGUCCUCGGACACUACCAAAUUAAUAUUUCUUCUAGAAAUAUUACAAAGGAGAAGAUUUUGGGAUGAUAAAACCAAAGGGGGAGGGGUUCUAUAUAUAACAAACCAAACCCCCCCUUUCUAUCUUUUCCUAAUGUGGGAUAUUGCCAAUAUUCAACAGACUCCACUCGGUCAUGCUCAAUUGGGGACCCAUAGAACUCAGUGAGUCCUUAUCUCGUCCCAUCAAUAUCAUCAACGACAACCACAUCGAUAUGGUGACUUGAAAAGCUCUGUAAAUGAACCUGGCACCCCAGUUUCCAUCCCAACGAAAGGCCACCCUGAGUACCAACAGCCAAAACACCCAAACCACAAAGAAAACUGAAUCAAUGACGAACCAUCUCCGUCCACCUAGCGUCU
rnacentral:lncRNA from 1 species